UCAUGAGCAUAAUGACAAAGUUCAUUCAAAAAAAUGAUACAAGAAUCUGGUAUGUGUAGUCAGUGAAGAAAAGAUUAAAGUAAGAUAGCAAACUUAGACAUAAAAAUGGUUAAUGCCAUGAAGGGCAAUAAAACUGACCUUUGGGGUUAUUGUCCCUAAUAGGACAGAAGUCAUUUGUAACUGAAUAAUCUGCAAGGAUGCAUCCUGCCCAGAGCCUGGGCCCCAGUCCAUAGCAAACAGUGAGUCACAUAGGUUGGCCUUGCCCAGAGUGUUAGGUGGUUGAGGCAGGCUUAUUUCAGACCAUGCUCUGGUGAGACUUUAAACAUGUAAGUCAUCUUCUGCCUCACUAAAGAUUUGAUAGACAAUGCUGCUUGAGGAUACAUCAAGACCAAAAAAAAAGAAGCCCCCUGCCUGUGGACUUUGCAUUCUGCUCUGAGUUUAUGUUCAGAAGAAUGGUGAGGUGUUGAGAUCAAGCCAAAGUCUUUCAGAAUUCUCCUAUAGAAGUAGGAAUAUCCCCGGGCUUACCUGAG